rnacentral:rRNA from 1 species
UACGGAGGGUGCAAGCGUUAUCCGGAUUCACUGGGUUUAAAGGGUGCGUAGGCGGUUUUUUAAGUCAGUGGUGAAAGCUCCGAGCUUAACUUGGAAUCUGCCAUUGAUACUGUAUAUCUUGAAUAUCGUAGAGGUUAGCGGAAUGUUGCAUGUAGCGGUGAAAUGCUUAGAUAUGUUACAGAACACCAAUUGCGAAGGCAGCUAACUAUGCGACAAUUGACGCUGAGGCACGAAAGCGUGGGGAGCAAACAGG